rnacentral:misc_RNA from 1 species
ACGAACGUCGCCUGCCGCGACCAUGUACUCGACUCCGCUUGAUGAGGAAAACACUGAGCCCGUAUCCAUGAGGAAUUUCGGGUCGAGUUGCCGCAGUGUGAGCAAGUUGUUUAACGCUUCGUCGUUGUCGAGGUUUGCCGGCGCCUGCAAACAGGUCUGCAGCCGUUGGACGACGAGUUUCAACGCCGAUCCAGCACAUAUUCGAGCAUCCCAUACUUUCGAGUGCAAAACAACCCGCAACAGCUGGUUCAGAACGUGUACGGAGCCAGGAUCUAUGAUGAAAGCUGCAUCCGAGGGUUGAGCGUCAACGAGUUCGGCGAGUUGCUGGGCCGCCAGUCGUCGGACGCUCGUACUGGUAUCCUUUGCCUCCAGCAGAGCCAGUAGUCCAUCAAGCCGACUCUGUUGUUUCUGGAGAAGCAUCACACGGAACAAGCCUCAGGCUUGGCUUGCGGCAGUGUUCGGUAGCUUGGAAUACGCGUCGUAUCCGGUGGUACUGCGUCUCGCACACCGGCGCGCAGGUGUAACGUGCAGUAAACAGGAGUUGUACUGUGCGUCGACUGGUGCGGAGGCUGGGGGCGUCUCUCGGGGAAACCUGCUGAGGCCAGCAAAACUCUGCAGACGUACCCACGCCUGAAUAGAAUGGAAAGCCUUCUCUGACACUGGAGUACUCGUUAUGGUAUUGGUCUCUUCGCACUAUCAUCGACAAAAGGCUUUGCUAGCUUUCCGUGCGACGGCUUACUUUCCUUUUGUCUUACACGGGGCUUUCACGACGUCAGUCUCUUCUGUACCUCAGGAUCCGUUCUCAAUAGUCGAAGGAUGCUAGCGGUAGGACUCACGUCCCGAUGUCUCUGCUUGCGGCUGUUGUCGACGCAUUUCCUGCCAGGGCCGAUGUUGCGACCUACGCUCUGUUAUCUAUUUUUAGCUUCGCUGCAGAAAGACUCGAUGCGCCCCUGGCGGCGUUUACACUUCGCUGCGGGAACAUGUACCCGAGUUGUCCAAGCGUGCGCGCCUCAUCCCGCUCUGAGCAGCACGCUUCGGCCCAUGAAGGCUUGCUCCAUCGCACGGUACGGUAUGCUCCAGACGCGUACAAAGAAUCCGUACCUCAGUUCACCCACCUGUUUCCGCGCCCAGUGCCGUCACGGUCGAUCGUUGACUUCGUCUAGGCGAACGCCUCGGCGAGUACCCUGUCCGCUGUACUCGCAAGUGCAUGCUGUCGCAUUCGAUAAAGGAUUUGACGAGCGCUGUGUUGUCCAUGAUGAAACAGGAACCGGAAGCAGAAUCCAUGCUGGAGUAGAGAUCCAGUGCGUACGAUCCGUCCACGCUCCAUUUGUGCUGAUCGGUGGCAUACGCUCUAUAUGAAGCGAUGGCUGCAAUGGCCAAAGUCCAAAUCCAUGAAGUUUUUCCAUGGAAACAGAAGAGGCGGGAGUCUCAGGGAGCAUGCUCCCCGCGUGAAACACACCAUGCUGCUGUCGAAUCAGGAUUCAUCGAUGGCCUCAAGUAGAGAAUCAUUGAUCUUUCGAAGGCAAUCGCUCAUUUGAAAUGACAAGUUCAGGACACAUUCGACAAGAGCUCGUGACCCUCGCAUCGUGAUUUCAUCGAAGCGCUUUGCCCUGAAAAGAGAAGAUCGAAGAUUUGAAACAUACAUGAUUUGUACAGCCUACUCGUCAGGAACGUGGAAGCGUCCAGGCCUCUACGUAUGACUCGGAUCACGGGGUCGGUUGCCUACGAGAGCGUGUCCGAAGGCGUCGCGAAUUGUCUUGAUUCCGUUGACGUAACGAAUUCCAUCUGCAAAACGUCCAAGAAGGCACCCUUAAAAAAUAAAGACUAGCAGCUGUCAUGCGACCUAUGCAUCCGACAGCGCUCAUAGCUAUGCUUUGAAUAUCGCUGUUCUGAAUAUAAAAAACAUGACAUAAGAUCGCAAGGUCCGAGCGACGCACGCAAUUCUGUGCGUUAAGUUUAUCUUGUAACAGGUGUUUUCGCGAGUCUGACCCCUCAAUAUCCAUCGACGCGUUUGAGUGCACGACGACGACAGCGUGGAUGUGUAUACACCGACGUAUAGACGCUUCUCAGUCUUUCUCGACUGGCCACCUACUACUGGGUUCAAGUUCUCCUUGUGCAAUU